UUUACAGUUAAUGUUAGUGUGAACUGUGAAGUGCAGGAACACGGAGGAAAGAGUUGAGAAAAAUUGUGUUAUUUUCAUUUUUGGAUUCUUAAACAUCAUAUGCUUUUUUCUAUUCUUCUUGAAUGUAAUUAGGUCAACAGAGUCAUAGACAUGAAUAAAAAUGAGAACAUUUAUUUUAUCUUCGACAUUUUGUCUAUUUAAUUCGUCAUCAGUGUAUCUUAUUAUCAAGUUGUUCAACAAACACCUCUCCCUCACAAUUAAUUGAUUAAUUGAAGAACGAAAAGGAAAAUAAAGCCGAUGGAAAAGGGGGUGGGGGCGGACAACUACCUCUCCCUCACAAAUUAAUCUAGGGUUCCUCCAUGCCUAGUAAUAAAUGGUUUGAACCUAUGGUGCGCAUUUGAUCUACUGAAAAUCAAAGUCCUGGAGUCUACGGUGAAGCCAUUUUUUCAGCUUCUCAAAUCAGGUUAUAAGUCUUGAGAUGGCUGCUGGAGGUAAAUCAAAGAAGAAGAAACAAGUUUCACGUAACUUAGGCCGUCUCCCUACCUCUCUACCAUCGGCACAUUCUGGUCUGCAUGUGCCUCCACCUAUAUGUCUGUCUUCAGUUCCACCUCCCUUAUACUCUAUACCACACCUAGGGUAUACUGCUAUGUCCUCGACCCCUUACUAUUAUCAUAUGUCUUUCCAAGACAUAAAUGGGACGUUUUCAUCUAGAUCUGCUUGCCCAUCUAUGCCUACACCUAGACCUGCCAUACCCCCAUCAUCUACUCCAGUCAUUCAUCCCAUGGCAUUUAAUCAUUAUCGUCUCCCGUUAUUCCUUCAUCAUCUUCCCCUGUCAUACCCCUUCAUUCUACCCCUAGCAUGCCCACAUCUUCUAGUCGGCCUCCAAAGCAUUCUGAAUCUAUACAUGCUCAGGAUCCUCCAAAUAUUGGAGUAGAUAGCCCUCCGACGUCCCCAUGCGUCGAUAGUAAUUCAGUUACACAGCCUCCUAUACAUGCUCAGGAUCCUCCAAAUGUUGGAAGGUUAGAUGAUCUCGGGAGGUUGAUUAUUGUUCCCGAUAAAGUUGGGUUUCUUCCUUGUACUCAAGCUACAAAAGCUAUGGUUGAAUCAAUGUGUUCAUUUUAGCAUGGACCUUGGAGGUUCUGGUCAGAUGUUCCAUGGAACAUUAGGGAUAAGAUGUUUGAUGAAUUAGGGUAAAAUAAAUUAUUUCAUUUUUCAACUCAUAUUUAACCAAUCUAACAAAUUAAUUAUUUGCAUAUGAAGUGUGCUUGGACAGUUGAACGUGAGGUAGAGGUAUGAGGCGUCUUUUUAAAAAAAUGUGUUGAUAGGUUGACUGAUAUGUUUCGAGAAGCUCGAAAUAAGAAAGAGAUGCCAGGUUGGAUUAUUUAGGAUAUAUGGACUAAACUAACUGAGUAUUGGGCCUCUGGGGAAUUUAAAAAGAAAGUGAAUUGGCAAAGGCAACCCGUUUGUCCAACAAAGGUGGCUCCAUGCACACAAGAGGUUCAAUAAGUAUUGGGGCUCAUCGAAGAAGAUUGCUGCAUUGGAAUGAAAUAUUGAUUCAAUAGUAACCUCCCUGGAUGCCACAUACCCCUGCAAAGUUUAUGCAUGUCCUAGUGUUUUCGAUGCAAUGAGAGGCAUUUGAGGAACGUAUUUAUGUAUAGAAUCACAGUAAGAGCUUAAGGUAACAGAUUUUCAGAAGCUUUUCUUCUUUUACUAGUUUGAAAAUAGGCCUCUCAAUCUUCUAGCAUCCAGUUUCUAGAUUUUGUUCCAUAGUUAAAGUUUCUAUGUUAUAUCUGCUCAUUCAACCAAACUCCUAACUUGAGAUAACCAAUGUAGGUCAUUGAUAUAGUUUCUUUUCUGUUAAUUUUGUAGAACUUGCAUCCUCUCCUUCUCUUGUCAUUAAAAUGUCAACAAAUAAAUGUAGAUAUUUAUAGUGAAAGAUAUAUUCCAGAAGCAAUUGUGGGUUUCUAGGUUUGUAUAUGUGAGCUUAAAGGAAAGGGGCAUCUACUUGUGAUGUAAUUCGAGGAUAGGACUAGAGGAGAAUAAAUAGAAGAGUUAACUGUGUUUGUUGGAAUUUGCGUAAUAUUAACCUUUUAAAGAGACUUGUAUUUUCUCAUAAACAAUUUACCUUAUUUGUGGGUCGUGAGGAUGGCGAAUUGAGCCUGUAUUGUGGUGAAUGCCUUUGAUAUCAUAACAAGGUACAGAUUAAUCUAACUUUACAAGUUAGGUACAUCUGCUUAUAAUCUAACAUACUUCAAAAGAAGUGUUACACAAAAAACAAAAAAGUUUUACACAAAAAAUAAUAUCUUUACAUUAUUCUACUUGUACAAUGAUGGAGAAAAUGGUACUAUAUAUAUUUUCCAAUGGAAAACAUUUUCCUCCAUAACAAACGGUUCAAAAUUUGUUUUCCUUUGGUCAUCUUGCUGAUUUCUUGAAAUUAUUUUUCUGAAUGAAAAUUUGAUGAUCUUCUGUCAUGUUUCAACAUGGAUUUUCUCAUGUUCUGUGCGCUUUUCCAAUUAGAAUUCCUUAUUUAACCCAUUAUCUACUGUGUAUACUUGAAGUCAUUAGCAUGUAGGCUGAGACGAUUUGUUAUGUGUGAUGUGUUAUCCACCUGUGUGCAACUUGGCUCAAUCUUGUAGAGGUGUUUAUUGUGUGUAUUUUGACCAAUCAGAGGUUGUAAAAUUGGAAAGUUGGGAGUUGCGGGGCCUGAUUUAAAAUCCAAUGCAAGUAUAGGUGUAUUUUGAUGCAUUUCAACUGCUACACUAGUUGAUUGAUCGAUUUUAACCACCAGAUGACUUCUGUGCAUGUUGUCUUAAGAUAUAACUUGCAGUCCGUCUUUAACUCUAAAGGAGUGAUUCCUGUUUUUCUAUUCUAAAAGAGUUAAAUUGUAGCGGAGUUGAGUUGGAUUUUGAAAUUUACUGUCUUGUCUUCAAUGAUUUAUUUAGUGCUUUAUCUCUUGAUGUUAUCUGACUAUUCUCUAUUUUCAGUCCCAAUAUUAGAAAGAAAUAUUAAGGCACAGUUCAUGUUUCAGCUUUAUCAUUAAUUGAUGUUUUUCUUGAAGUUGGAAAAUCUAAUUUGGACUAGAGCAUGAAACACUCAGGUUGUCAAGCACUUGAAACUGUUGUUGUUGUUGUUGUAACUAAUUACACGGUUAACUAAUCUUUUUGAAGUUUCAUGGGCAUAGCACUUUAGUUUUGCUUUUUUCAUGUUUAAUUUAACCGGAAAAGUCUUUAAAAAGACCAGCUACUCAAGAUGAGGUAUUUGAGCAUACGCAUAUGAAGAAGCUAAAGGAUGGAAUAAAGACAACUUGGAUCGAGGCACGAGCCGAGACAACCUAUAAUACUUUCAAACAAUCCUUGGAGGAGUUCAUUCAAAGCCAACCAAUUGAUGAUCAAGGAAAGACAAUCCAACCAUCCCAGGAGAAUUAUAUAGACUUGUGGAUUAAGGCGGCUGGUGGCGUACAUAAGGGAAGAGUUUACGACAUUGGAUCAGAGUUUAGUUCUAGUUGUCGGUCUUUUGGAUCUGGUGGCUCUUCUUCCUCAAGGUCCCCGAUUAAUCAGAAUGAGUUUGAGCUAUUGAAUAGAAGAAUAGCAGAGAUCACUGAGUUGUAUGCACAGAAAAGGGCUGCGCGGGAGGAGGAGGCAAAGCGAAGGGAGGAAGAAGAUAGGCGGAGGGAGGAAGAAAUGAGGCGAAAGGAUGUUGCAUUUACACGUGUCACUGGUGACGUUGAAAGCCUCAAGGCCCAGCUAAACUACCUCUUAGCAUCUGGUGCAUUUCAUGUGCCACGUUCUCCAUCACACUUUAACAAGACUAAGGAGUAGUUUCUUUUAUUAAUAUGAUUUUGGGUAGGACUAUGAUGUUGGAUGUUAUGUAUCAAUUCGAUAAGAUUGAAUGCCGAAUUUCUUAUUUGAAUGUUAAGUUGCAUUAUUGGUUUCUAGUAUUUUCAGUUUUGGUUGGUUGUUAA